UACGUAGGGUGCGAGCGUUAAUCGGAAUUACUGGGCGUAAAGCGUGCGCAGGCGGUUUUGUAAGCCAGAUGUGAAAGCCCCGGGCUUAACCCGGGAAUGGCAUUUGGGACUGCAAGGCUUGAGUGCGGCAGAGGAGACUGGAAUUCCUGGUGUAGCAGUGAAAUGCGUAGAUAUCAGGAGGAAUACCGAUGGCGAAGGCAGGUCUCUGGGCUGACACUGACGCUCAUGCACGAAAGCGUGGGGAGCAAACAGG
rnacentral:rRNA from 1 species